rnacentral:rRNA from 1 species
GACGAACGCUGGCGGCAUGCCUAAUACAUGCAAGUCGAGCGAACAGAUGGAGUGCUUGCACUUCUGACGUUAGCGGCGAACGGGUGAGUAACACGUAAGGAAUCUACCUAUAAGCGGGGGAUAACAUUCGGAAAAGGGUGCUAAUACCGCAUAAUAUGUUCUUCCGCAUGGAAGAAGAUGGAAAGAAGGCUCUGCAGUCACUUAAAGAUUACCUUGCGGUGCAUUAGUUAUGUGGUGGGGUAAAGGCCUACAAAGACGAUGAUGCAUAGCCGACCUGAGAGGGUGAUCGGCCACAUUAGGAUGGAGACACGGCCCAAACUCCUACGGGAGGCAGAAGUAGGGAAUCUGCCGCAAUGGGCGAAAGCCUGACGGAGCAAUGCCGCGUGAGUGAAGAAGGCCUUCGGGUCGUAAAACUCUGUUAUAAGAGAAGAACAAAUUGUAGAGUAACUGCUACAGUCUUGACGGUAUCUUAUCAGAAAGCCACGGCUAACUACGUGCCAGCCGCCGCCGUAA